CCUCUGGAGUUACUUACAUGUCCUACCUACCCAGGAUAGAAUUGCGAACUCAAAUUUCCUGCCUCUCUUGCGGUUAGAAUGCAGGCCUGUGACAUUGGCUCUACUUACUAGAUGUACCCAUGGAAAUGUAAGGAAUGUGAGGAUACAAGCUCUGCAGACAGCUACUACUCUUCUGGCUACAAGAUCAAGUUCCAGACACAGAAUUGACACUGAUCCUGGGAGCAGGAGCAAAUGAAGAAAAGUCGAGCUCCUGAUAUUUGGAGCUUGAUGGGAACAGCAUGCCAGUUAGUUCUGCCAUGGUUUUGGGCAUUUUUCUAGAAGUUUAGCCCAGGAUUGUUUUUCCAGCUCUCUCAAUAAUUUUGUUAUAAAUUUUUAAAAUUCCUGCAUGGAUUCUGUUGUUUACAACAAAGAACUUUA
rnacentral:lncRNA from 1 species